rnacentral:lncRNA from 1 species
UUUGUGUGUUUUUGCCAGGCAUGCUCCUCACCAUGAUCAAUAUGGCCCAGGACAGCAUGGCCACGGCUUUGAGUCUCCUGUGAGACGAGAGAUGGUUGAUUUUGCUAACCACACUCUUGAGCAAAUGGUUCGACACUGGUAUUCUACUUGUUUUUCUAACCCCAGUGUUGAGUCAUUUGCUCAUCCUUGGUCUCCCUUUGUUUGAGCAGGUCGGAGGCCUGGAG